GAUGAAGAACGCAGCGAAAUGCGAUACGUAAUGUGAAUUGCAGAAUUCAGUGAAUCAUCGAAUCUUUGAACGCACAUUGCGCCCCCUGGCAUUCCGGGGGGCAUGCCUGUCCGAGCGUCAUUUCUGCCCUCCAGCCCGGCUGGGUGUUGGGCGCUGUCCCCCCGGGGACACGCCCCAAAGGCAGUGGCGGCGCCGCGUCGGGUCCUCGAGCGUAUGGGGCUUUGUCACCCGCUCGGGACGGACUCGUCGGCGCUGGUCUUCCUCCAGGCGACCCUUCGGGGCUCGUCUUCCUUCGGUUGACCUCGGAUCAGGUAGGGUUACCCGCUGAACUUAAGCAUAUCAAUAAGCGGAGGA
rnacentral:misc_RNA from 1 species